CUGAAAACUACUGUUUCCUGUAGUGUU
rnacentral:misc_RNA from 1 species